rnacentral:lncRNA from 1 species
CUUUAUUUUAACAUAGCUGUGUCAAUUUAGGGUAUUUUUUCAAAGUUUUAUUAUAUAUCAUUUCCAAAAUGCAGAUGUUAGCAUAAAACAUGACAGAGUAUGCGGUAUUACAAGGGAAUCUGAGAGAACCCCAAUAAUUCUUAAAAAUGAUCAAUUUCUUAAACUCUUCAAAUCUCAAAUUAUGAAAUUUAUCACACACGUAGAAAAUUAUACAAAUAUAAUAGAUAUUCAUUUACACUUUGCAUAAACACUCAUUAAAUUUUUGCCCCAUUUGGAUUACAUUCUCUUUCUAAUCUACAAAACUAAAAUUUACAGAUAUUGCUAUUGCUGUAUCCCUUUCCUUUCUUACUUCUCAUUUCCCCAGGAAUAACUGGCAUUUUGAAUUUGAUGUAAAUCACUUCAUGAAUUUAUACAUAUGAUUCUCUUAUUUCAUCUGUAUAAUUAAAGUGUUAUACUUAAAAAAUUGAUAUAUCAUUAUUAUUCAUUUUCAAAAAUUUUAUUGGAAGCAACCAAAUAGCCCUAGAAUUAAAAUCGACUAGGCCUCUGCCAAGACUUCCAUCUUUACAAUCGAUUUGAGGGGAGUAAAGGACCCUUUAUAUAACAGUUAUUAUGAAGUGUUCUAUUUUUUUUUUCAAUGACCUUUGUUUCCCACUUGUAUAAUUAUUUAUCCCGAAAUUCAUUAGCCUUCUCCUGAAAAGAAGCACUAAAGGCUACAUAAGUAACCAUGGGUUAAUUGGAUAACUGUGGUAAUUUGAAAGCUUAUACAUGCUGACUUUGCAGUUAUUAAUAAUACAUGAAGCUUACUACAGAUAACCCCUACCUUGGUAUGGGAAGCAAAUGAGAAAUAGAUGCUAGAUUCUUUGAAUUUGAGAGUUGUGGCAAAUCAGGAAAAACUGCUCGAAUCUGUCUCUGACUCAGUUUCCUUAGGUACAAAAUAGAGACAAUGAACUCUGUCAAGCUGCCAUGAGGAUUACAUGAGAUAAUGCCAGAUAAACAGUGCUAUGUGUCCACUAGAUGUGAGUUAUUACAGUGAAUGUGAAUUAGGUGUAUUUUAUACUUUCAGAAAUAAGUUCAUUGACAGACUUGGAAGCCACAUGGAAAGAAUUUUCACCUCUAUGUUGAAAUGAAUUUUCACCUCUAAGUUCUCUUGAUAUCUCAUUUUUUGAUUAAGGGAGACAUAGCUCCUCUGAUAGACUUCUUGAGCUGAUUUAUCCUAUGGGUAAAUUAUUCUUGGGUACGUUAUUUCCGAAGUCUAGCUUCUCUUCUCCCAAUGAUUUCAUAAGCACCUAACUGCCUGUAUUAAAUCCCCUUCUUAUUAAAACACCUAGAGAAAUUUCUGGUUCCUUCAACUCUACUAACUCCUUCAAAAACCUUUGUUAGUUUUUGCUAGUGUCACUGUGCAGACACUAGCUGUUAGCCCCAGGACCCCCAGAAUGAGAAUCUGGGGUUUGUUAAAUCACCUGCUUGAUAAGAAGUGAGUGAAAUUGGAAUAGAAUCAGAAAAUAAACCUCUAGGGUAGAUUUUAAAAAGUUCUCAUCAUAAGAAAAAAAAUUGUAACUACCUAUGGUGAUGGAUGUUAACUAGAAUAAUUGCGGUAAUUAUUUUGCAAAAUGUACCCAUAUCCAAUCAUUUUAUUGUACACCUGAAACAUAUUUCAUAACAUUAUAUUAUGGUUAUCUGUCAAUGAGAUCUUAAUUAAAAUAGAAAAUCAGAAAAAAAAAAAGGAAAUGAGACUGGCUGUUUGUAGUAUAAAGUGACAAAACAAUACCAUGAUGUCACUUCUAAAGAAAUGUCCAUUGAAGCAAGGCUUUGAUGGACUGUUCCUGCGAGAUAGGCUGUUGUUAUGUUGUUAUGUUCCUAAAGAACACGAGGACUUUGUGGGUGGGCUGCCUUCUUUUGACUGUGAGAAUCGUUUAGGGAAGUGAUAUACUCAGCUUUUAAAUUCUUGCUUCGAGGCACAAAGAGGGGCACAGCGAAUACCUUGUGACUCAAAGCCCCAGGGUUAUUGAGGCUGAAGUUCUGACUCAGUAUUGCUGGACUGGGGCUUCCUGUGUGAAAAUUGAGAACAUUGACUUGAAAGUUCAGGAACUUGAAAACUAGCAUAAGAUUACGUAGGUGAUUUCAGAUAAACUUGAGCAUUCCAAAUCCCCCAAAUUCCACUGAUCCUCCCUUGCCAGCAGGAAGAGCCAUUUCUUCGCAUGGAUGAAGCUGGAUCUGCCCUACUUGGAGUCCUUGAAACAGUUAUCUUGUUAAAGCCAUUCAUUCACCCCACACUCUCUACUGCUCGUAAUAACUUCCAGAGCAAAGACCUGAUUCAGUUUCCAACAUGUUCCAGCUAUAGUCCCUAAUCCAGGAAAAGAAGGCUUACUAGAUUUUGCUCAUUUACACCAACAGAAUCCAGGAGAAUAUCUAUGGGAUAUGAUUCUAAAUGUGCUAGACCAGGAAAGAAGGGAAAUAAUUUUAAGGUGGCUGCAGUUAUUAAUAUGAUUAGAUUUAACAGAGAUUCUGGAAUCAAAGGGCUAGUUUGAGCUGCUAAAGUGGUUCUAGCUAUGUGCUUGGUAUUGACUGAAACAUAGACUCAAAUGAUGUGUUUAGUAAAUAAAGUUAAAUGCCUGAAAUUCUUUGGCAUAAUGGGGAGGGAGGAAUUCAUGUGGCUAUCAAGUGCUUGACAUGUGGCUGGUCCAAAUCAAGAUGUUCUUUAAGUGUAAAAUAGUGCAAAAAAUAAUAGUUGAAAAUACGCAUGUGGCUUGCAUCUGCGGCAUGCAUUUCUAUUUUUAUUGGGCAGUGCUGACACAGAAGGAUUUAUCAUUUGUGACAUACUUACCCAUCCUCUAAUUCUGUCUUCUGAAAGAGCCCAUAAGACAAUCCCAUCCACAAGGUAUUUGGUACAAUGCUCAAGAGAGGAGCCGCUGCAUCCUCCAAAAGCAUUCUCUCGGGAUCCGAGCCGUGUCUGCAACCUAUACCACAGCUCUCAGCAACGCUGGAUCCUUAACUGAGCGAGGCCAGGGACCAAACCCGCAUCCUCAUGGAUACUACUUGGGUUCGUUUAACCACUGAGCCAUGGUAGGAAAUCCUUAUACCACGUUUGAGUGAACUUUUUCUUCUUAUUUAUCAAUUGUCCAUAAUGCUAUCAUGUUUGAGUGUGACCCAAAGCAUGAGAAGGGUGUCUUACUGAUCCAGCUUGCUGUGCAAAGCAGCUUUACUAUUUGGGCUACAUGACUGAGAAUAUCCAUUGUGAAGUGAUAGGAUAUAUGGUGCUUAUGGCAAGUUCUGACAGUAGAAUCACAGCAUAGAGCACAUUGGGUUUUUAGGGGAAAGAAAUGACCUCUUUAAAAAAAUCUCCUUUUGAAGUCUGGCUUCUGUCUUGCAACUGGUGCCUCAGAGUGAUUCAAUUCUGAUCAAAGGAACCUAAAUUCUUCCCCAAAUCAUGCAACUGCCAUGAACAGGGUGAUGUUUGAUCCUCUAAAUCAUACAGUUGCAUACAUACAGCAGCAUACUAUUAUCAAGUGGAAUUAUCAUCGGCACAACAAGAAUAGGCUCAAAAGUACAAAAUGUUGAAAAAAAAUUACAAAAUGUUGAAAGUACAAAAAUAUUGCAUGUGCCAAUAGCUUCCAUUCAUAAUGAAUCUGUCCUUGCCACACUGCCACCUCUCCUUCAAUCCUUACAUACGGCUACCUGCAGUGUUUCUCAUAAUUAAUUGACAGGGGGAAAAAAGUAAGCCUGAUAAACAUUCAGUCCUGUAUGAUAUAUUGGUGUUGGUUUGAGGUGGCUUGCUUCCGCAUUUUAGCCCUUAUAAGAAUAUCAUGAAAAGAAGGAAAAUUAGGUCCUUAUUGUGGGAAGAACUUUGAGUAGUCCAACUAAUUGUCCACUUUACCUGUAAUAAAAGAUGACAAGAGGGUAUGGACCUAGAUUGAUUCAGGAUAAUAGCUAAAGGGUUUGAUGAAUGUUUGGGGUAUAUGAAGGGGAAGUAUGAAGGAUGUGCUGAAAAUCAGAGCAAAAGGUAUGAGAUGGACCCUUUGAAAUAAAUUCAGAAUUGAGGCUAUCAGUGUCCUGGGAAAACACUUGCAAAGGAACAUGUGUUCCAAGAGAGGCUUCUAGUAAACAGGUGGGAAUGUUGACCUGCCAUUUGGUUUCUUUCUCCACAGUCUCACUGCUUGCACAGUUGGUCCAUGGACAAUGUGAUGAAUGUAGCAGGGAGGGAGGUAAUACAUGGGCUUAAAGACUUAGUCUUACACACAAUACAACUGGAUGGCCACCAAUACUG